CCUGAACGCUGGCGGCGUGGCUAAGACAUGCAAGUCGCACGGAGGUAGCAAUACCUCAGUGGCGAACGGGUGAGUAAUGAAUCGCUAAUGUGCCCCGGACUCUGAGAUAGCUGCCCGAAAGGGCAGGUAAUAUCAGAUGAUAUAACCAAACCGCAUGGUUUGGUUCUCAAAGGUCCGCCGGUCUGGGAGCAGGCGAUUUCGUAUCAGCUUGUUGGUGAGGUAACGGCUCACCAAGGCGACGACGCGUAGCCGGACUGAGAGGUUGGCCGGCCACAUUGGGACUGAGACACUGCCAGACUCCUACGGGGGCUGCAGUAACGAAUCUUCCGCAAUGCACGCAAGUGUGACGGAGCGACGCCGCGUGUAGGACGAAGCCCUUC
rnacentral:rRNA from 1 species